CUGGCCCUGGUAGGGAGGAGGAGGACCCGGGAGGGAGGGGGGACCCCAAGGGGGUUUCCUCAGCUCCGCGUAGAGGGAAGGGGAAAUCAUAGUGAAACUUGAAACUCAUUAACUUUGAAAAAUAACUUUGAAAAAAAGAGAGAGAGAAAGGGGGCUGGGGUGUUGACUUGGAGGGUCAGAGGGGACAUGUUAUUAAGCCCUGAACUGAAACCACUCUUUUGGUGGCGGAUGUUCUAUUAAAAGACCGAGGAAAGCCAAGGUUAUUCCGGAGAGAGCCGGUGCUUCCCAGAGCCUAAGCAACAGCGAGCGCUGUUAACCCCUCCUUGACUGCCUGUCAGCUGGGGACUAACCCGCGAGGGAACUUUGGAAGCCGAGGAGGGGGUGCGGGGCGGAGCCACCCAGCAGGCUUCUGGAACUCUGGGGGAGUGAAAUGGAAAGACAGACUAAUUUAUUACAAACCAGAGUUUGACCCCGGCUGCUAGAAAGCGUUAGAGAACGGGAACUGGAAACUUCUGGAAAUAUCAGGGGAGCUGGAUCUGGGGAGCGAAGCAGGUUUUCAAGGGUAGAUAGACAUGAAGAAUACUAGCAGUUUGAACUUCAAAAUUCCACGCAUCCACAAAAGAGUCUGCAGAAGGGACGGAUUUAACGGGUCACCUCAAAGUUGGAAAGGAUAAGGUGUAAAAAAAAAAUGACGCAAAACAAAAAUAUUCUUUGUUAAAUGAUCAUACGCCCACUAACAGCUGACCAUCGUGCAAACUUGUUUUGCUCCCUUAGGCUUUCAGAAAGAUGGUCGUUCCUACUAACGAUUGACCCUUAAAAUCCCCCGAGGAAGUCCUACCUCUAGCUUGCUGGAGCUAAGAAAAGCUCAAAGCCCCGGAAUGGAAAUUAUUAAAAAUGGAAUACUCAGUAAUGGCGAGCUUAGAGCCAAAAAUAAUGUUUUGCAAAGGAAAAAAUAUGCCUACCAAAAAGUAAAUUUGGUCACAGGAACAAAGAUCAUGCAGCUAGAAAGGCUGGAUGGUGGGUAAUACUAUGUUAGCCUUACAAUGAAAUAGUGACGGUUUAAUUUUCCAGUAGGAUAUCAUCUAUUUUAUUAAAUCCCAAUUGGUAGGAGUCACGAAAAAUAUAAUGUAGUGCCCCUCCCCCAGUUGAGCUGUUUGAAUCACAAGCUAAACAUGCAGCCAUAGCUAAUGUGUUAGGAUAAAAACACAGUCUUCAUAAGUCGAGGUUUUGUUACUUGAAACGGAAGGGGGAAAAAGCUAAGUGCCACAGUGGAUUUUUUGACUCAAUAGUUGCUGAAGACAACAGAAAUGAGUCCGUGAACCCAGUGUGUCUUCGCGAUACAGCAAUGCUAUGAGCGUUUGGGCAAACUGCAUAUCUGGUUUUGAUUUGUCAUCUCACUGUUUUCUUGAGCAACAAACCAGUAUUAAAACUUCUCUCUGAGACAGAUAAUAUAGAACACUUUCUGGUAAGUUUUCUGAAUUUUCUAAAUGUGGUUUCUUUCUUUUUUUCUUUCUUUCUUUUUUUUUUUCUAUACCAAAAUGCAGGGAAAAGCAGCUAUGUUAUAUGUAAGUAGUUGGUUUCGGUUUGUUUUAUGACACAGUAGAAAGUGGAUCCUCAGAAUAUAACAAAUAAAAGGAAUUGAAUGUGUAAACCCAACCAGCCCGGUGACUGGUAAACUUCAGCUUGAACUGUCAAAUAUCCUUGAACAAUGGGGAUCCCAAUGACGGCUCUAGACUAGGAAGACAGAGAGAUUCCAAGGGGCCUCUUUUUCUCCAUCCAGCAGGCCAAAUAAACGUCUUUGUUGCACCCCUUGGGAGAUAUGGGGUCCUUUGGGUACUCUGACCUUAUUUCUCCCGCUGAGCAUCUGAGGGAGAGCACCGGUCUAACCCGAGGCCGUGCCCGCGCGUCCCCCAACCUCGGUUCCCACGCAGCCGCCCUGCGCUGCCUCGCUCGGGCUCCCCCUUGGCACGGCCCCGUGGCUCCACAGCUCCGGCCCUCUGCCUGGUGCGACCAGCAGCGCCACCGCCACGCGGAGAUCCCGGAGGUUCCUCCGGCUAGCCCCAGGUCACACCGCCUGUCCCUCCCCUCCGCCCUGCGAGCUGGGCUUUCCCGUCCACCAACGAGUCCCCUCCCCCCGCCCCCCACUCCCGCGACCCGGCAACAAACCCUUCCCCGCACGCUCCGCAGUAACUGUCCCCUAAACCCGGGCUCUUCCCAAGCCAAGCAGACAAAAGAACGGAGGGAGGAAAACUUACCGAACUACAAGGCAAAAAGUCUGCUCCCAAGCUUCCUGGGUUCAACUUUUCAUUUUAAAAACAACAAAAGCAGAAACCAAAAGCCUCCUAGGUUGGAAGUGGGCGUGAGAGGAAACGCUGGGGGAGGCGCUUGGUUCCCUCGCUGCGCUCCCCCCCCCCUUUCUGGCCCCUACCCGGAGCUUUGAUGUUAUCUAGUGCACCGCCUACGUGGGUUAUACCUUGAGCUCAGUGCCUGGUGACAGUCAAGAUAUUCUCCUCUGUGGGUGCUGCUAGGAGGCAGCGCAGCAGGUGGCCAAAGGACGGGAUCCCCCAGCUCUAACCGGUCAUGGGAAAGGACCUUUGCGGACUCCCUUUCUCACCUGAGCUGAAAAAGGCUUUCCCCGCUAGGGAUCGUAGUCUCAGAAUUGUGCUACUUUUGCUGUUUGAUUCAGAGAAGGAGGUCUCCCAGAUUACAUUCUUUUUCCUUCCACACAGUACAAACUUGUAAUAAGAUCGUUUGGAUGUUUCCCCGGGCUCUGUUGAAUUUUUAGAACUCAGCUUGGAAGCAGAUAUUUUUUUUCUGAGAUAUUCCUACAGUCUUCAAGAGACAAGAAUACAACUCCCAAGACGACAAACUAUAAUAACACACUACAGAUUCCCCUUUGGGUCAAAAUACCUGCACAUCCUCCCCCUUUGCUUAUGGAAAGCUCAUGGUUUUAUUGUACUUACCCGGACACUAGCUCAACCUGGAUGUAUAUUUCUUAUGUUUUCAGCCUCAGAAUCAUCACUAAGGCAAGAUGUUUUGAAAAUGAGAAACAAACCAGGUUAGUAAUAAAGAAAAGGCAGUGUCUCUCCCAUUCAUUCUUCCUGGCACAUUCCCUUUAUGACAGCACCAGGCUGUGUUCAGGCCCUGCCUCCUGGGAAUUUACAAAUUAAUGGAGACAGCACAAACACACGGAAAAAUACCUGGAGGGAGAAAAGAUAUAAGCCACAGCUUAUAAACAGAGCCAAUUACACCGAGUUAUUUAUAUGACUGCCGAGAGAUCCUUGGGUAGAGGAAGUGUCUAUCCAGAAAAGUUCCAGGAGAGGGUGAGUCCUCAAUAGAGCUUUUAAGGGAAAGUUCAGGAUCUGCCUGGAAGAUAAGCACAGUACUCCAGCCCUGAGAGGCAGCUGCUAGGUGACAAGGAGGGGAACUAUAGGAUACUGUUUCCUUCAGGCAGUAGAAAGUCUAGGUGGGUGAGCAAUGAAUGGCAAGCAAAUUAGGAAGGACACUACUGAAAGUGAGAGGGACGCUCUUGACUCUGGAACCCAGCUGGGAGCUGUGCACCUGGGCUGUCCCCAGAAGCGGGAUGAGUUUUUCUAAUGGUAGCAGCGAGGCAGUCAGAAUGAACCAGCACCAGUCAGAGAAGAACCAAAGCACCCAUCCUUUGGAAGGAUUAAGACACUGUGAGCAGUUGGUAGUCAUCUGGAGACAUCUAGACCGAGAAUAGUCUUUAGGCAAAGUCACUGUGGCUGGUGGAUUUAGGACAGAUAUGGGAGCUGGGUACAAAGACUGCAGCUGUGGUAGUGACAACAGUAAAGGGGGUGGCCAGCAUCGCACUCCUGUCUCUCCUUCAUCCCAUUUCUAAAAUGUUACAUAAUCGCCAGUGAUCCGUGGAGUUAGUACACCGUGCUUUUCACGACUGGAAUCCAGAGCACAUCCGGAUGGUUAAAACAGAAAGGCUGUGUUUUAUGGAAAAUACUCUAAUAACUUUAUCAUUUUCUGCAUCCACGGAGCAGGAAAAUGGAAGACAUGGUUGUUUAGAAAUCUACAGUAAUUCAAGUUUUUAGAAAGUGACUGAUGAUGUCAUAAAAGUGCAGUUGUUGGGGGAUAUUUGAGGCUGACAGGAGGGAAGGGAAAGGUGUUUGGGUUUGAACCUAUCUAAUUUUGAGAAGGAUGGUGGUUCCAGCCCUUGUUUGAUUCAUACCACAACACUGGUCUGUUGGAAAGCGUCUACUUCGAUGGAAACAAUAGAAGAGGAAAGAAAAAAACCUUUAACCUGCAAAUCCAGUGUAAUUUCUGAGCACAUUUAAACCUAUUACAGAAACGUCUAGUAAUCAAAAGCAAAGACUCUUAAAACAAGGCAAGUGGAAUGAGAGUAUUCAAAUUUCAUACACCUCCCUUAAGAGAAAAAAAGUAAUUGGUUCUAGACUUGAAUAAGUUAGGACUCCUGGUUUGUCUCUCAAGACUACUAUAAAGAUAAUCAAUGAGUGUAUCACUCUCGACCUAGUGGAGGGGAAACUGAAGGAGGAAUCUAAGACCCAGGCCAUAAGAAGGGAAAACAACUGUAAAAAGCAGUUCAUACAGCACUCAAUGGGAUGGAGAUUUUAGAACAAAGUAUUAACAGCUUCACGAUAUAGGGGUGGACUGAUAGCCCAAUUAAAAGUCUGAAUAAAGAAGGUCUGAAUAAAGUGGGGCAGCAAGCAGCUUAGAUCAGACAUCUGAAAUAAGGGUUACACACUCAGUUACUGAAAAUGAAAGGAUAAAAAAUAUGCUAUACAACUGUUGGCUCCCCCAGACUGGUGCUCCUAGGUCCUUGUGUCUUGAAUUACUAUUUGAGGAAAAGAUGUAUCCCUUUUACUAGGUAUGAAAUGCUAUGCUUUGGUGAAAAUUGUCAUUAACUAGGAAGAAACUAAAGUUUAAACUCACCAUUUAAUAUUGCCCCAACGUAAGUUAUCAAAGUUAGCAGAACUCUGAAAAACAGGGUAAUCUCCUACCAUACUAAACCAUACUAAUGGAAUUUUGUUUGCUUGUUUUGUUUUUGGUGUAUCUCUUCAUAAUAGAACCAGUAGGCUAAAACUCAGCCCGUUGGUAAAAGCUAAACAUUAACAAGAGAACAGGACAACUCUCUUUAGUGUCCAAAUGCCAAUGAUCUGGUUGGGGACUCUCCUUCAAACACACCAGAAAACCCACAGGACUUGGCUGUGGUCACGAGGUCAGACUUGACAAAUUGGGAUGGACUCUUCUCUGACUCCGUGUAACAAAACCCUCAAAAUAUAAAAGCAAAACAAGAGAGCCUCAGAGGUUUGAAAACUAAUCUACUGGAUUAGUUCAAAAAUAGCACAUUGAUUCUGAUGAUACUACAAAGAAAGCUGGACAGUGAAAAUAAGGUGUUACUCUUGUCUUAGGUAAUGCUAUCAUGACCGAGGCAAUGUGGGGAGGGAAGGGUUUAUUGGACUCACCCUUCCAAAUCCAGAGUCCAUCACUUAAGGAGGUCAGAGCAGGAACUAAAUUAGGACAGGAACAUGGAGACAGGACUUGAUGCAGAAGCCACAGAGGGAUGCUGCUUACUGACUUGCUCUCCACGCCUUGUACUCUAGGGCUUGCUCAGCCCGAUUUCUUAUAGAACCCAGGACCAACAGCCCAGGAAAGGCACCACCUACAGUAGUCUGGGCCCUCCCACUUCAAUCACGAAUUAAGAAAAUGCCUUACAAGCUUGCCUACAGCCUGAUCUUACAGAAACGCUUUCACAACCAAGGUUCUCUCCUGUCAGUUCGUGUCAAGUUGACAUAAAAGUGCACACAUAUCAACUUAUACAGUUAACGUGGCUCAUAGAGCAGUGUGGGUUCAAAUACUUUAAUUAAGUGAGGGAGACUGACAUCCAUGAAUUAAGCUCUAAUCUUGAAAAUAGAAACACCUUUUGAAAUGGAAGUGAAGUGAAAAGGCAGAUAGUGAAUAGAAACUGAACUUAACAUAAAGAACAUCAACGAAGCCAAAAAUAAUUCCUUUAAAAAAUGAAUCGAAGGUGGGAUAGUAUCAGGAAGGCAAGAAUCACACAGGGAAGCACACAGCUCAAUUAGAAAAUAACAAUGAUCGGAGUCACCUUAGGGAAAACAGUCCAGUGCUUUUGAAAGUGUCAGCAAAAAUGUACUAAUUUCUAGAGAAAAAAAAAAAACCUGAGAAGGCAUAGAAAUUUACAUAGUCCUGUAUCUUAAGGAAACUGAAUCCAUAGUCUAAAAUCUGGUCCAUAAAUAAAACCUAAAGGUUAUUUAAACCAAUAACACUGGUCUUAUCAAAACUUUAAAGAAGAGCAGAAAAGGAGACUAUUUCUCACUUAACAAGGCCUGAAGAACUCCAGUACCUUCCACCCUAGAGAAAAUAGCAAAGAGAACAGGAGAACAAAAUUAUAAAUGAAUCUUUUCCACACUGAUAUAUAGUAUAUAGUUGCCUUUAAAAUUACUUCAUGAAAUUAAAGUGUGUAUGGAGUAUAUAUUCCAAAUAUUUAACAAAAUAUUAAAAGCGGUUUGAUUUUUGGAAAAUUCUCGAAGGGAAGAAAAAGGAAAUAUAAGAAAAAAAUCUAGAAAAAAAUGAUAAAUAGCAGAUAUGAAAAGAAAAAACUAUAACAGAAACAAGUGAUUUCUUGUUAUAUCAGAAUUGUAGUGGGAAGGUAGUCAUGGUAUAUGUUUAUAAUUAUAUGUUUAUAAUUCUAGCACUCGGGACUGAGGCAGUAGAUCCUUAGUUGUGGGCCAACUCUUGCUAUAUAGAUGAGAGCCUUUUCCAGUAAAUCAAAUGAACAAAUAAUCAAAAAAAAAUGAGUGUUUUAUAUCCAAUGUUAAAAAGAGAGAAAAAUGACCCCCAAACUACAUUAAACAUGCCUUUGUUUUGCAAUCUGCAAGACAUCUACAAAGAAAGAUAAAAAUAAGGUGAAGGUUAAUUUAAUUUUGGAAAUAGUUUUCUGUAGAAACCAAUGAGAAAGAACCUUUCAGACUCAUCUGGUGGAAGAACCAGACGUGUGGAAAAGCAUGUUUACAGGGAAGGUCAAAAAGCCAGAGGCACAAACCGGAAGCAGAAACUUUACUGCUUGUCCUAGGCUGAGGUGAGCGUGGGGAGGGGUGGCGUGAGAAUAAGAUGGUAAGACUGUUGUGAAACUCGGUUGUGUUUCUGCACAGCUCUGUGGUAAAUCCAAAACUUAUGAGAGUAGUGAAUGCCACACAGGCCUGUAUAAAUCAGAGCUCAGUAUAAAUCAAAGCUCACACUGCUAAUUGGGAACAGAUCAAACAUGGAAGUGAAACCACUUCUCAGUAUGGACUGACCGCACCAUUGUCAAAACCUGUAAGUCAAACCAUGGCAUGAUGGGGACUGUCUGCCGCUCUCCCUAAGUCUAGACUUCUCCUUUUUUUUUUCUUUCUUUUUUUUAAAGACAGGAUUUCUCUGUGUAUUCUCAGAUAUCAGAUAUUUGGAAUGUGCUCUGUAGACCAAGGUGUCUCAGAACUCAGAGAUCCACGUUAGGCUCCUCCUUUUUAAAUGUCCAAAAGCCUUACCUUACUUUAGAAAAAGCUGAACCAAACCAAAUGCAGUGAAUUGACCAGAGUGCUCUGUGAACCAAAACCAGGCCAACAUCUCAUGGGUUUGAAAUGGGGAUGCUUUUCUCAUGUCAGGCCAGGGUGUAUUGAAUCUUGGUAUCAUAUUGCCUUCAGUCUGUGACUCCAGUAGUUUCUGAAUGGAGGGUCCUUGAUCUCCAAGGCAGGAAGGGGAGGGUUUUGCUGAAGUCUGACGGGAGUGUGUAUCUUCACAUCAAACAUUUUAGAAUACUCAGCAGAUAUGGCACAUUGGGACCAUUUAUCCUUCCCUGGAACACUGGGCUUGAUCUCCUGAUUUUCUUUGUCCAGAUAAACAUGGUCAGAAGUGCUGUGUGCCUUUGAGAUGGAGGGCUUCUUUCCACCUCUCUCAUGGGACUAUAUUACAAGGGAGCAAAGGCAGCUGCACUGUGGACCCCAGGACUGACCUGGCAUUUAAACCAAGCACACCUAGUUUAUCUGCAUUUGCUAGAGAGAGAAAAAUGACAGCGGGUUUACCGUGAUAUCCCCCCCAUUGUCACACAUGUCAUAAAAUGCGUGUAUCAAACCCGUGUUGUGCACAGCAAACACGUUAAACUCUCCGUAGCAUGUAACUUAAAAAAAAAUCUUUACACAACUCAAAGAGCAUUUCAUUUAGCUCCAUUUACUCUUAAAUACAUUUCUAAAAGAAAAGAACUUUAAAAUCUCUAUUGAAAGUAAAAAGAUACUCGUAAUUUUGCAUCCUCAUCUCAUUUCAAAGAAUUGCGACUUUAGUAUUUUAAACAAUUGGUUCUGAAUGACAUUUAACUAAAUGCACAGAGACCAAAUAUGUCCCCCAACACUGAAGACCAAGAACACCCCUAUGUGUUCGAUGAGCGGGCUUCAGUGACCAGGCAACACAUCGUCACCUUAACAAAACUGAAAAAACGAAUUAGAGUUGUCAAAGGAGAGACUGGCACUGCUUUCAUUGCCCGGGGAAGCGCUCAGCUUCUGGUCUAGAAGAGGCUGGUCUCAGUGGCUGCACUGCUGUAACAGAACUCACACCUCUGUGCGUAAGAACAAGACUUCUCGGGCUUGCACUCAGCGCUAUGGAAUGUAUGAGCAUAACUGAUGUGCGUCCCGUCUCGUUCAAAUGGUGAUUAGUCAUUAUGCAGACAUAAAAGCAAUGCGACCCCCUUUGCCUCAUCGUGCUUGAAAUGUCUAAUAACUGAGUUUUGUUUGGUAAUUAUUUAUGAAAUUUUGUGACAUGGUUAUGUUGUUUUGACUAAUUAUGUACUAACAAUAGCAGUGAUAGAUAGUUCUAUCCAAGAGGCGAUUGACGCGGGCAGCCUUAUGUUCACUGAUAAUUUUUUAAAAAUUAGCUUUCAAUUCAUAUGCUUAUCCUGUUAAGAGGACAAGUUAUUUCUGUGAUUCAAAAAAGGGCAAAUAAUAAAUAAAUAAAUAAAUAAAUAAAUAUCAAAAGGGAUUAUCGAGGAGGAUCAUUUGAAAUGGAACGGGGAUAGAUGUUGAAGAACAAAAAGCGAUAAACUAUAAUUUCUGACUAUUAGAAAAGGGAUUUGUGCUUUUAAGAAUGGAUGGGGGCUGGUAUUGAAUUCCUAUGGGAUUGUGGUGCUGUCGAUGAAACGUAAAGAUAAUAUCAGUAGUCUAGUACUGAGUAAACGGAUUUCAUCCUUAUGAACUUAGUUUGUAUUUGUGGCUGUGCACAUGUGCACUUGAAUACGUAUGUGGUAGCCACAGAUAGAUGUUAGCCGUCUUUCCCGCUAGCUCUCUGCCUUAAUUCCGGAGACAGAAUCCUUCACUGAACCUGCAGCUCCAGCACGUGGUGAGACAGACUGACCAGUGAGCCUCAGGGCUCCGCCCAUGUCUGCUCUGCCCCGCCAGUGCUGGGAUUACAAAUGUCUGCCGCUACACCUAGGAACGGACAGAAAUGGUGGAACGCAAAUGCUGGUGAAGAAAUGGGGACAUUUGGUGGAGAUGUAAAGCAGUAUAGCUGGUAUGGAAACUCCUCCAAAAUUUAAAAAGUAGAACGUCCAUACAAUACUGGCAAUUCUACCAUGAAGCAUUUACCAUCACCUUCCCAGGCUGCCAACACGUGGAACCAACCUAUACUCAUACGUAGAUGUAUAUAUAAGAAGAAUGUGAUAAAAUACACACACACACACACACACACACACACACACACACACAGAGAGAGAGAGAGAGAGAGAGAGAGAGAGAGAGAGAGAAUAUUAUUCAGCCAUUAAAAAGGAUACUGUCUUUGUCAAUUGAGGCACCAUGACCUGGAAGACUCUGUGUUAAACGAGCUAAGCCCAAAAUGACCAAAACUGCAUAAACUUAUUUUUAGAACUCAGAAAGCUGAUACCACUGAUGUAGGGAGCAGAAUAAAAGUUACUAAAUGCUGGAA